ACAAACGUAACCCUAAUAACUGAAUAAACCUUAAAAACGGUGGCAUAUAUUCACAAACAGAAAAGCUCGCCCUUAACUUCCUCCUAAGGCGUUAUGUCCAGUUUUGAAAGCAAAAAAAGUCACAAAGCUUAACCGCAAGAACGAGUUAUGAUAGAAUACGUUUUGUUAGUGGAGGUCUCCCCGAAGAAACCUGAAUCUUUG
rnacentral:lncRNA from 1 species